ACACAUAGGGGAAAAGCAUCUCUGGAGGAAGCAGCAUCUUCUCCCAGGGGAUAAAGGCCUCAGGACGUCACUGGGUUCUGCAGGGGCCCGAGGUACCCGAGCCGCGGGAGCUGCUGGAGCCGCCACAGCCGCUGAAGCCACCGCCGCCGCAUUGGUGCAAGGGAGCCAGGCUGCUGCAGACUGCGCGCUAGAGCGAGAGAUCUGUUUCUCUCCAUAGUUCACCCAAACCCUCCAACCCCACCCCCUGGGGCC
rnacentral:lncRNA from 1 species